rnacentral:rRNA from 1 species
AUUGAACGCUGGCGGCAGGCCUAACACAUGCAAGUCGAGCGGAUGAAGGGAGCUUGCUCCUGGAUUCAGCGGCGGACGGGUGAGUAAUGCCUAGGAAUCUGCCUGGUAGUGGGGGAUAACGUCCGGAAACGGGCGCUAAUACCGCAUACGUCCUGAGGGAGAAAGUGGGGGAUCUUCGGACCUCACGCUAUCAGAUGAGCCUAGGUCGGAUUAGCUAGUUGGUGGGGUAAAGGCCUACCAAGGCGACGAUCCGUAACUGGUCUGAGAGGAUGAUCAGUCACACUGGAACUGAGACACGGUCCAGACUACUACGGGAGGCAGCAGUGGGGAAUAUUGGACAAUGGGCGAAAGCCUGAUCCAGCCAUGCCGCGUGUGUGAAGAAGGUCUUCGGAUUGUAAAGCACUUUAAGUUGGGAGGAGGGGCAGUAAGUUAAUACCUUGCUGUUUUGACGUUACCAACAGAAUAAGCACCGGCUAACUUCGUG